GGACAUGUAAAACGGUGCCCUUAUUCCAUAAGGAGUGAGGAUGAGGGUUCGACUCCCUCCAUGUCCG
rnacentral:tRNA from 1 species